UAGAAGAUUGCCACCUAUUAUUAUCAAAUAAAGCUUGACUUCUUCCUCAUUGGGAAAAGAGGAAAGAAACAGCAGCCAUGGGAGAAGAGAGAACCGUGAGUUCUCAUGGCACUUCUAAGUUCGAUUUUUCGUCGAAAUAUCGAUCCAAUCGCGUAAACGUUAAGAAAUCAAGUUAGAGUCGACAUUAUGUCAGUGAUGUUGCGCAGCUUUGCAUCUUUGGCGAGUCACUGGUGGUCAACUUGGAUUAGUAGACGUGGCAUGUUGUGUAAUAGUUUAAUCUUUAACCUUCCGCUGGAUAAAUGUUACGUUUUCAAAUGUAAUAGAAUUUAAUUGUGCUUUUAAGCUAAAAAGAAAAGGAAAAAUUUCAGCA